AUCGAACGCUGGCGGAAUGCUUUACACAUGCAAGUCGAGCGGCAGCGCGGGGGCAACCCUGGCGGCGAGCGGCGAACGGGUGAGUAACAUAUCGGAACGUACCCAGUCGUGGGGGAUAACUAUCCGAAAGGAUAGCUAAUACCGCAUACGUCCUGAGGGAGAAAGCGGGGGAUCGCAAGACCUCGCGCGAUUGGAGCGGCCGAUAUCGGAUUAGCUAGUUGGUGGGGUAAAGGCUCACCAAGGCGACGAUCCGUAGCGGGUCUGAGAGGACGACCCGCCACACUGGAACUGAGACACGGUCCAGACUCCUACGGGAGGCAGCAGUGGGGAAUUUUGGACAAUGGGGGCAACCCUGAUCCAGCCAUUCCGCGUGAGUGAAGAAGGCCU
rnacentral:rRNA from 1 species